AUGGAAAUAUGAGGGACUUUUGAUGUAGUUCACUCUAUUUCUUAAAUUUGGUGGAAUACAAGAACCGACUAUCUAGAUAAAAUAAUUAUUUCAGAAAGCACCAGGAAUAAGUGCUUCUCCUUCAGAAGACAACAUGCGACACUUCAAUGUUAUGAUUCUUGGACCAACACAGUCUCCUUAUGAAGGAGGAGUCUUUAAGCUCGAGUUAUAUUUACCAGAAGAGUACCCAAUGGC